rnacentral:snoRNA from 1 species
UUGCAUCUCUGACAGACCUGAAACAGUUAAUGUCUGCGGCUAAGGUUUCCACUACAGAUGCAGGAAAAAGAAGGUCCCUGUGCUUUCUCUCUGUCUGGUGUGGCAGCCAAGAUUGAAUGGGGGACUACAAGA